UUCAGCAGCCACGCCACCUGCAGGUCAGACCAGGUAAUCCUCCUGAAGCUAGGCAGGUUUGGGCCUGGCCAGUACUUUGAUGGGACACCAACUGGGAAAGCUGGGUUGUUGCUGAGA
rnacentral:rRNA from 1 species